GAUGAACGCUGGCGGCGUGCCUAAUACAUGCAAGUCGAGCGAACAGACGAGGAGCUUGCUCCUCUGACGUUAGCGGCGGACGGGUGAGUAACACGUGGAUAACCUACCUAUAAGACUGGGAUAACUUCGGGAAACCGGAGCUAAUACCGGAUAAUAUAUUGAACCGCAUGGUUCAAUAGUGAAAGACGGUUUUGCUGUCACUUAUAGAUGGAUCCGCGCCGCAUUGGCUAGUUGGUAAGGUAACGGCUUACCAAGGCAACGAUGCGUAGCCGACCUGAGAGGGUGAUCGGCCACACUGGAGCUGAGACACGGUCCAGACACCUACGGGAGGCAGCAGUAGGGAAUCUUCCGAAAUGGGCGAAAGCCUGACGGAGCAACGCCGCGUGAGUGAUGAAGGUCUUCGGAUCGUAAAACUCUGUUAUUAGGGAAGAACAAAUGUGUAAGUAACUAUGCACGUCUUGACGGUACCUAAUCAGAAAGCCACGGCUAACUACGU
rnacentral:rRNA from 1 species